rnacentral:rRNA from 1 species
CCUACGGGAGGCAGCAGUGGGGAAUAUUGCGCAAUGGGCGCAAGCCUGACCCAGCAACGCCGCGUGAAUGAAGAAGGCCCUCGGGUUGUAAACUUCUUUUAUCGGGGACGAAGAAAGUAACGUUACUUCCCUUGUAAGCCACCGCUAACUCCGUGCCAGCAGCCGCGGUAAUCCGUGGGGGCCACGCGUUAUCCGGAUUUAAUGGGUGUAAAGGGCGUGUAGGCGGGGCGGCAAGUCAGAUGUGAAAUUCCAGGGCUCAACCCUGGAACUGCAUUUGAGACUGGUGUUCUUGAGUUAUGGAGAGGGAGGCAGAAUUCCAGGUGUAGCGGUGAAAUGCGUAGAGAUACGGAGGAACACCAGUGGCGAAGGCGGCCUGCUGGACAUUGACUGACGCUGAGGUGCGAAAGCGUGGGGAGCAAACAGGAUUAGAUACCCGAGUAGUC